rnacentral:rRNA from 1 species
GCAGCCGCGGUAAUACGUAGGGGGCAAGCGUUAUCCGGAUUUACUGGGUGUAAAGGGAGCGUAGACGGCAAGGCAAGUCCGAUGUGAAAACCCGCGGCUCAACCGCGGGAUUGCAUUGGAAACUGUUUAGCUCGAGUACUGGAGGGGUAAGCGGAAUUCCUAGUGUAGCGGUGAAAUGCGUAGAUAUUAGGAGGAACACCGGCGGCGAAGGCGGCUUACUGGACAGUAACUGACGUUGAGGCUCGAAAGCGUGGGGAGCAAACAGGAUUAGAUACCCC